AUUGAACGCUGGCGGCAGGCCUAACACAUGCAAGUCGAGCGAGCGGCGGACGGGUGAGUAAUGUCUGGGAAACUGCCUGAUGGAGGGGGAUAACUACUGGAAACGGUAGCUAAUACCGCAUACCAUCAGAUGUUGCCAGGUGGGAUGUGCUAAUAGGUGGGGUAACGGCUAACCUCGGGGACGCGCCCUAGAUUGUCUGAUGGGAUUACCAGCCACACUGAAACUGAGACACGGUCCAGACCCCGACGGGAGGAAUCAGUGGGGAAUAUUGCACAAUGGGCGCAAGCCUGAUGCAGCCAUCCCGCUUGUGUGAAGAAGGCCUUCGGGUUGUAAAGCACUUUCAGCGGUGAGGCGUUACCCGCAGAAGAAGCACCGGCUAACUCCGUGCCAGCAGCCGCGGUAAUAC
rnacentral:rRNA from 1 species